AUUGAACGCUGGCGGAAUGCUUUACACAUGCAAGUCGAACGGCAGCACGGACUUCGGUCUGGUGGCGAGUGGCGAACGGGUGAGUAAUGUAUCGGAACGUGCCCAGUCGUGGGGGAUAACGUAGUGAAAAUUACGCUAAUACCGCAUACGAUCUAUGGAUGAAAGCGGGGGAUCGCAAGACCUCGCGCGAUUGGAGCGGCCGAUAUCAGAUUAGGUAGUUGGUGGGGGAACGGCCCACCAAGCCAACGAUCUGUAGCUGGUCUGAGAGGACGACCAGCCACACUGGAACUGAGAAACGGUCCAGACUCCUACGGGAGGCAGCAGUGGGGAAUUUUGGACAAUGGGCGAAAGCCUGAUCCAGCCAUUCCGCGGGCAGGAUGAAGGCCCCCGGGUUGUAAACUGCUUUUGUACAGAACGAAAAGGUUUCUACUAAUACUAGGAGCUCAUGACGGUACUGUAAGAAUAAGCACCGGCUAACUACGUUCCAGCCGCCGCCGUAA
rnacentral:rRNA from 1 species